UUAAGUUCAGCGCGUAUUCCUACCUGAUCCGAGGUCAACCUUGAGAAGUUUCCUAGCUAAAGGAGAGGACCGUGUCCCGGGUGCCCUUGUCCGAUACGUGCUCAGUUAAAAGCUCAGUGUACCGGGGGAACCACAGGCCGCCGUCAUUGUCUUUGGGAGGGGUCGAUAUGACUCGACCUAGCCGUCCAACACCAAGCACG
rnacentral:misc_RNA from 1 species